rnacentral:misc_RNA from 1 species
CCAACUGCCUCUACGGGUUGUCUCCUCAUUCUUACCAGGGAAACGAAGGAUUCAUACGCACACAGAAGAUGUUUUUCCACAUAGUAUUGGAAAGGAACAUGCAAUUGCACCCACGCUACUUCGGCCGCAACCUCCGCGAAAAUCUCGUCUCCAAGCUCAUGAAAGAUGUUGAGGGCACUUGCAGCGGUCGACAUGGGUUUGUGGUGGCAAUAACAGGCAUAGAGAACAUUGGGAAAGGAUUAAUCCGAGAUGGAACAGGAUUUGUGACAUUUCCAGUGAAGUACCAGUGUGUUGUGUUCAGGCCUUUUAAAGGAGAGAUUUUGGAAGCCGUUGUUACCAUGGUAAACAAGAUGGGGUUUUUUGCAGAAGCUGGACCAGUUCAAAUUUUUGUUUCAAACCAUCUAAUACCUGAUGAUAUGGAGUUCCAGUCUGGAGAUAUGCCAAGUUAUACAACUUCGGAUGGAUCAGUUAAGAUUCAGAAGGAUAGUGAAGUGCGAUUGAAGAUAAUUGGGACUCGAGUUGAUGCUACAGAAAUUUUUUGCAUUGGUACCAUAAAGGAUGAUUUCCUGGGCGUGAUAAAUGAUCCAGCAACUGCUUAGUGGAGUUGUGUACGAGAAACUUCAAUUGCAUCAAACUUUCCUGCAUGCAAUACAUUCUCUUCUUACUGCUUGUUAUAUAGUUUAUGAAUUUUUCUUCUCAACUCGGAUCUUAAGAAAUACUAAUACCUUGACAUGUUGAGUAUUUUCUUUCCCAGGCAAUUGAAAUUAGAACGGUGCAAAGUCAUAUUUCAUUUGGAAUCAUAAUAGUUGAACAUGACAUAAAAUCUUUAAGGGCUUAGAAUGUUUUCUUUUCUGAUGCCACUCUCUUACCUUCUGCCUCUCCUAAACCACCAGUCACCAAUCUGCUUCAUAAACUUAAGCCGUAACACCACUGUCACCGCUACCACCACAACAUCCAACAAUAACCAGCUAAAUCAAUUUGUGUGUAAGCAAGGCAACCUAAAAC